UGCCCUAGUAACGGCGAGUGAAGCGGCAACAGCUCAAAUUUGAAAUCUGGCGUCUUUGGCGUCCGAGUUGUAAUUUGCAGAGGGCGCUUUGGCAUUGGCAGCGGUCCAAGUUCCUUGGAACAGGACGUCACAGAGGGUGAGAAUCCCGUACGUGGUCGCUAGCCUUUACCGUGUAAAGCCCCUUCGACGAGUCGAGUUGUUUGGGAAUGCAGCUCUAAAUGGGAGGUAAAUUUCUUCUAAAGCUAAAUACUGGCCAGAGACCGAUAGCGCACAAGUAGAGUGAUCGAAAGAUGAAAAGCACUUUGGAAAGAGAGUUAAAAAGCACGUGAAAUUGUUGAAAGGGAAGCGCUUGCAGCCAGACUUGCCUGUAGUUGCUCAUCUAGGUUUCUACCUAGUGCACUCUUCUAUAGGCAGGCCAGCAUCAGUUUGGGCGGUUGGAUAAAGGUCUCUGUCAUGUACCUCUCUUCGGGGAGAACUUAUAGGGGAGACGACAUGCAACCAGCCUGGACUGAGGUCCGCGCAUCUGCUAGGAUGCUGGCGUAAUGGCUGUAAGCGGCCCGUCUUGAAACACGGACCAAGGAGUCUAACAUCUAUGCGAGUGUUUGGGUGUCAAGCCCGAGCGCGUAAUGAAAGUGAACGGAGGUGGGAACCUUUCGGGGUGCACCAUCGACCGAUCCUGAUGUCUUCGGAUGGAUUUGAGUAAGAGCAUAGCUGUUGGGACCCGAAAGAUGGUGAACUAUGCUUGAAUAGGGUGAAGCCAGAGGAAACUCUGGUGGAGGCUCGCAGCGGUUCUGACGUGCAAAUCGAUCGUCAAAUUUGGGCAUAGGGGCGAAAGACUAAUCGAACUAUCUAGUAGCUGGUUCCUGCCGAAGUUUCCCUCAGAUAGCAGUAACGUUUUCAGUUUUAUGAGGUAAAGCGAAUGAUUAGAGGCCUGGGGGUUGAAACAACCUUCACUAUUCUCAAACUUUAAAUAUGUAAGAAGUCUUGUUACUUGAUUGAACGUGGGACAGUGAAUGUAUCGUUACUAGUGGGCCAUUUUGGGUAAGCAGAACUGGCGAUGCCGGA
rnacentral:rRNA from 1 species